rnacentral:tRNA from 1 species
GUUUCAGUGGUUCAGUGGUAGAAUUCUUGCCUUCCAUGCGGGAGACCGGGAUUUGAUUCCCAGCCGAUGCA